rnacentral:rRNA from 1 species
GAUGAACGCUGGCGGCGUGCCUAAUACAUGCAAGUCGAGCGAACGGACGAGAAGCUUGCUUUUCUGAUGUUAGCGGCGGACGGGUGAGUAACACGUGGAUAACCUACAUAUAAGACUGGGAUAACUUCGGGAAACCGGAGCUAAUACCGGAUAAUAUUUUGAACCGCAUGGUUCAAAAGUGAAAGACGGUCUUGCUGUCACUUAUAGAUGGAUCCGCGCUGCAUUAGCUAGUUGGUAAGGUAACGGCUUACCAAGGCAACGAUGCAUAGCCGACCUGAGAGGGUGAUCGGCCACACUGGAACUGAGACACGGUCCAGACUCCUACGGGAGGCAGCAGUAGGGAAUCUUCCGCAAUGGGCGAAAGCCUGACGGAGCAGCGCCGCGUGAGUGAUGAAGGUCUUCGGAUCGUAAAACUCUGUUAUUAGGGAAGAACAUAUGUGUAAGUAACUGUGCACAUCUUGACGGUACCUAAUCAGAAAGCCACGGCUAACUACGUG